rnacentral:rRNA from 1 species
GACGAACGCUGGCGGCGUGCUUAACACAUGCAAGUCGAACGCUGAAGCCUAGCUUGCUGGGUGGAUGAGUGGCGAACGGGUGAGUAACACGUGAGUAACCUGCCCUCUUCUUUGGGAUAACGCCCGGAAACGGGUGCUAAUACUGGAUAUUCACUGAUCUUCGCAUGGGGGUUGGUGGAAAGGUUUUUUCUGGUGGGGGAUGGGCUCGCGGCCUAUCAGCUUGUUGGUGGGGUGAUGGCCUACCAAGGCUUUGACGGGUAGCCGGCCUGAGAGGGUGACCGGUCGCAUUGGGACUGAGAUACGGCCCAGACUCCUACGGGAGGCAGCAGUGGGGAAUAUUGCACAAUGGGCGAAAGCCUGAUGCAGCGACGCCGCGUGAGGGAUGGAGGCCUUCGGGUUGUAAACCUCUUUCGCUCAUGGUCAAGCCGCAGCUUUGGGUUGUGGUGAGGGUAGUGGGUAAAGAAGCGCCGGCUAACUACGUGCCAGCAGCCGCGGUAAUACGUAGGGCGCGAGCGUUGUCCGGAAUUAUUGGGCGUAAAGGGCUUGUAGGCGGUUGGUCGCGUCUGCCGUGAAAUCCUCUGGCUUAACUGGGGGCGUGCGGUGGGUACGGGCUGACUUGAGUGCGGUAGGGGAGACUGGAACUCCUGGUGUAGCGGUGGAAUGCGCAGAUAUCAGGAAGAACACCGGUGGCGAAGGCGGGUCUCUGGGCCGUUACUGACGCUGAGGAGCGAAAGCGUGGGGAGCGAACAGG